rnacentral:tRNA from 15 species
CGGGGCGUGGCUCAGCUUGGUAGAGCACCACCUUGGGGUGGUGGGGGUCGCUGGUUCAAAUCCAGUCGCUCCGACCA